rnacentral:lncRNA from 1 species
CUAGGGGCAAUGAGGAAGAGACCGGGAAGACUGUCUUUGUACUUUGGGAGAGAAUAGCUUUGCUCCUGAUUGGGUAGCUGUGAAUGCCAGUGCUUGCACUGACACUGUACAAAGCCUCAUGACCUUCAUUUUACUCAAUCAAAGAAUGCAAGAAAAAAAAUCUGCCUAUUUUUUUUUCUAGAGGGAUUACAAUGUACCCCGUCUCUUUCCUCUGUUUCUUUCUCCAGAAGUCUUUCAGCAAUCAGGAGUCACAAUCCCAUGGGACUGUCCAUUAGUAGGGUGUCCAGUCCACUGCAGGAUGGGGCUACAUCCAUAAAUACAACAUUGAGAAGUCCAAGGGAUUCCUCUGCCACUCUACCACAUGGAAUCUCAAAAGGCUUGUCCACCAUUUCCUCCUCUCCUUUCCGCUCAGUCCUCUAGCACAGAUUCUUGCUUGCAUCCCUAUUCUGUCUACUCCACCAUAAUGCUCCUUUCUUUUCACUCCUCUCAUGCUGGAAAUACCAACACCUUGCACAAAUGGGUGAUUUAACAGGGAUUGUAGUACAAGAGGGAGUACAUGUUUCUAACUCCUCAGACCUCUGUAUCCAUAAGGAGGAAUUCUAUUUUCCCUUGGACCACAGUCAGAGAUUAGCAGCUGGAAAUCACUUUGACAGUGCCCGUUGCUUGGAUGCAUACCACAGGGAAUUUUAAUUCCAGCCUGUGAAAUUGUAAUUGCUUCUCAAGAUGAAGAGAGGCAUCCUGGGAAAUGGCCACAGCCAGGCUCAAUGUCAGAGUUGCCAGUUGCUGCCACAUCAGAUGUUACUUGCUGUUUUUCAAAAAUCAUUCCAGCUUUCCAUAUGGGAGACUGAACUGGGGAGUGAAACUAAAUUAAUAGAAGCUGUCAGCUGUUCAGAACUGUGCAGACAGCAGUGUGCCAGGUUGUACUUUUAAGUGUAACUGGCCAAUGAAGGCCUAUUCCCAAGAGAAUGUUUUAUUUAAAAAAAAAAAGACUUUGCCUGAAGAUAACUGACAUGGGAAUUAACCUACCAGCUGGAAAUGAAAGAUGGCAGUGAAUGGACUUCUGAGCAUAAGCAGGUAUUUUGUGACUAUUUUAUAAUUGUUGUUGAAUAUUUUAGUUGUAUUGGACUCAUCAUGGCCCUAUUUGGGGUUUUCUUGGCAAAGAUACUGGAGUAGUGUACCAUUUCCUUCUCUAUCCCAUUUUAUAGAUGAGCAAACUGAGGCAGACAGGGUUAAGUGACUUGCCUUGUGUCUGAGGCCAGAUUUAUAUUCAGGAAGAGGAGUCUUCCUGAGACCCUGUACUCUAUCCACCGGGCACCUAGCUGCCCCAAUCAUGUGAGUCUUUCUGUUUACUGAAUGAUGAAAAUUGCCUUAUGAUUAACUUAUCAGUCGUAGAAAGACACUAGCCUGCUAAUUCAACUUUUGUUUUUGCUGGCCAAAAGACUUAAGGAUGACUUUGUGAGCUCUUGGGAUGGUGAUAAGGAAGAGGAGAAAAGAAAAGAGGGCGUCUUUCCCUCUCAUGGGCUGGUUCUAUGGUCUUCAAUCCAAUAAACAUUUUUAAGCACCUUAUAUGUGCCA